GAGCGGUAGCACAGAGAGCUUGCUCUCGGGUGACGAGUGGCGGACGGGUGAGUAAUGUCUGGGAAACUGCCCGAUGGAGGGGGAUAACUACUGGAAACGGUAGCUAAUACCGCAUAACGUCGCAAGACCAAAGUGGGGGACCUUCGGGCCUCACACCAUCGGAUGUGCCCAGAUGGGAUUAGCUAGUAGGUGGGGUAACGGCUCACCUAGGCGACGAUCCCUAGCUGGUCUGAGAGGAUGACCAGCCACACUGGAACUGAGACACGGUCCAGACUCCUACGGGAGGCAGCAGUGGGGAAUAUUGCACAAUGGGCGCAAGCCUGAUGCAGCCAUGCCGCGUGUAUGAAGAAGGCCUUCGGGUUGUAAAGUACUUUCAGCGAGGAGGAAGGCAUUAAGGUUAAUAACCUUGGUGAUUGACGUUACUCGCAGAAGAAGCACCGGCUAACUCCGUGCCAGCAGCCGCGGUAAUACGGAGGGUGCAAGCGUUAAUCGGAAUUACUGGGCGUAAAGCGCACGCAGGCGGUUUGUUAAGUCAGAUGUGAAAUCCCCGGGCUCAACCUGGGAACUGCAUUUGAAACUGGCAAGCUUGAGUCUCGUAGAGGGGGGUAGAAUUCCAGGUGUAGCGGUGAAAUGCGUAGAGAUCUGGAGGAAUACCGGUGGCGAAGGCGGCCCCCUGGACGAAGACUGACGCUCAGGUGCGAAAGCGUGGGGAGCAAACAGGAUUAGAUACCCUGGUAGUCCACGCCGUAAACGAUGUCUAUUUGGAGGUUGUGCCCUUGAGGCGUGGCUUCCGGAGCUAACGCGUUAAAUAGACCGCCUGGGGAGUACGGCCGCAAGGUUAAAACUCAAAUGAAUUGACGGGGGCCCGCACAAGCGGUGGAGCAUGUGGUUUAAUUCGAUGCAACGCGAAGAACCUUACCUGCUCUUGACAUCCACAGAACUUAGCAGAGAUGCUUUGGUGCCUUCGGGAACUGUGAGACAGGUGCUGCAUGGCUGUCGUCAGCUCGUGUUGUGAAAUGUUGGGUUAAGUCCCGCAACGAGCGCAACCCUUAUCCUUUGUUGCCAGCGGUUCGGCCGGGAACUCAAAGGAGACUGCCAGUGAUAAACUGGAGGAAGGUGGGGAUGACGUCAAGUCAUCAUGGCCCUUACGAGCAGGGCUACACACGUGCUACAAUGGCAUAUACAAAGAGAAGCGACCUCGCGAGAGCAAGCGGACCUCAUAAAGUAUGUCGUAGUCCGGAUUGGAGUCUGCAACUCGACUCCAUGAAGUCGGAAUCGCUAGUAAUCGUAGAUCAGAAUGCUACGGUGAAUACGUUCCCGGGCCUUGUACACACCGCCCGUCACACCAUGGGAGUGGGUUGCAAAAGAAGUAGGUA
rnacentral:rRNA from 1 species